UCCGUAGGUGAACCUGCGGAGGGAUCAUUACAGAGAGCCACUCUCGAAACCCUUGUGAACCUACCCUACCCGUACGUUGCCUCGGCGAGGGCGCCCGGGCUCCCCCCCCCCCAGAGGGGGCUCCGGGGCACAACGCCCCGCCGGCGGACCCUAAACUCUUGUAUUGGCGGAUUCUCUGAGUACUGUUACCGAAUCAGUUAAAACUUUCAACAACGGAUCUCUUGGCUCUGGCAUCGAUGAAGAACGCAGCGAAAUGCGAUAAGUAAUGUGAAUUGCAGAAUUCAGUGAACCAUCGAAUCUUUGAACGCACCUUGCGCCCGCCAGCAUUCUGGCGGGCAUGCCUGUCCGAGCGUCAUUUCUACCCUCAGGCCCCCCGGGCCUGGUGUUGGGGCCCUGCGUGCGCCGCAGGCCCUGAAACGCAGUGGCGGCCUCGUUACGACUCCGAGCGCAGUAGCAAUACCUCGCCCGGGGCCCGUGGCGGGUCCCCGCCGUAAAACCCCCCAAACCCACUAAGGUUGACCUCGGAUCAGGUAGGAAUACCCGCUGAACUUAAGCAUAUCAAUAAGCGGAGGA
rnacentral:rRNA from 1 species